rnacentral:rRNA from 1 species
GACGAACCGAGCGAACGUUGUUCGGAAUCACUGGGCUUAAAGGGCGCGUAGGCGGGUGCUCAAGUCCGUGGUGAAAUCCUCCGGCUCAACCGGAGAACUGCCUCGGAUACUGGGCGUCUCGAGUGUGGUAGGGGUAUGCGGAACUAUCGGUGGAGCGGUGAAAUGCGUUGAUAUCGAUAGGAACUCCGGUGGCGAAGGCGGCAUACUGGACCACCACUGACGCUGAUGCGCGAAAGCCAGGGGAGCGAACGGG